AUUUUAUAAUGAAAAUGUUGAAAAAGACUAAUUCCAUCUUCCAUCAAAUGAAUAUGAACAUUAAUUAAACCAACUUUGCAAAAUUAAGAUUUAUGCUACUUUCAGAACUCUGGGAUUGAUCAGUGUUGUCGUAUUUCAAUUAUUAUUAUUUUUUAUGUCGACAGACGUAUGUAUUGAUUUAUUUGAAUUUUGUCUUGUAAAAAGGCAACGCAAUCUGCUUACUAUCUUGCACACUCGUAAAGAUGUGGAUCUUGUCUCGGGAAGGCCAGGAUUUCCAGAGUUUAAACUCCAUUUUUAUUUAAAUUUGAGAGUUAUAAAUUAGAAUAACUUUGAGAAAUCGAACUCCAAGCACUGAAAGUUAGGGAUUUAAAUAGAAUAUGAAAUACCAUUUGAUUCUAAAAAAUCUGUAGCGGUUACAUAUUUACCAAAUAAAUGACUGAAAAUGAACUUUUUGAGAGGGAAAAAGUGGAGUGCUUUACAUGUAAAAUCGAUGUAGAAAUGGCUUUACAUUGAAACAAAAAUUAUCAAUGGUUUUAGUUGUACUUAUGUAUUUUCUUGCGGUUCCAUCCUGUAACGUUCAGGAGCAUUGUGCAUUACUCUUAUGUCUCUGUUCCUGUGGCAGGUAUUCAAUGAGUUAAGAGAUUCUAAUGUCUAAUAGAUGGGUUUCAGAAGAAAGAUUUGAAGUGGAGGGGGGAAGCUGGUUUUUAAAGGCUCAUGAUCUAUGCACAAGUGGGAGGGAGAGUCCAGGCCUGCUUUUCUCUUGGGGCCCAGGACUGGUACUCUGGGGUUCAGGGUUUGAUGUAGGGGUGUGUCAUUGUUGUGCUAUGUUAGAUUUUCUUCCCCCUCAUCAGAUUUAUGGCAACUUUAUUGCUUCACCAUGCUGUGUAAUCCUUAACCAAUGAGCGCUUAUCCUUCUGCUAAAGCACUGUGGGUUAUACUGAGAAAAAGCCCAUGAUUUAAGGCAAUCCGGUUUUUGUAAGGGGGAGGAGGUGAUAAUCUGCCUAUCGCCUUUUUUAUUUAAAAAAAAAAAUGUUAAGGAGAAGUGUCUGUGCUGAGAAAGUUAUGGCUUUUAAUGUUUUUUUUUCUCCUCAUAGAAUGUAAUUGUUAAUGAUAUGCACCGGGAAAAACAUGUUUCCAUAAGUUAUGGCGCUUCUUUCGGACUAUAUUAAUAAAUUGACAUUUUUCUUGGC
ensembl:lncRNA